GGUCAAAUGGCGCAAUGGUAGCGCGUUGGUUUUCGGCACCAAAGGUUGCAGGUUCGAGUCCUGUUUUGAUCG